CCUCCUCUUCUUGGCGGAGGUCGUGCAUGUGGUUCCGGUCCCCAUGAGGCACGGAGACAGAGGGAAAGGGUUCUGGCCCCGCUUGGCAUCAGGUCUUCAGUGCCGAUGGCUUCUAGCCUGUGGUUCUAUCCUCAAGAGCCAUGACACUG